rnacentral:ncRNA from 1 species
GCGGGCUUGGAAUUAUGAUGCUGUGGGCCCGCAUCAGCGCGUCAAGCGGGUGAUCACGGGGAUCUCCAUCACACCCGCCGGUAUAGCCGCGCCACUACUAAAGUAGGCCGCCAAGAGAAGCCUGCAUUGCUCUUGGUGCUCCGAAUUUUAUAUGUAGUGCGUGCCGCACGCCGUGGAGGGGUGGGUCGUGUUGGACGGCCUAGAAGGUGCGGAACGCCG